rnacentral:lncRNA from 1 species
CAUGUAUUUAUCAUGUCAUUCUAUAUUUUUGCAUGCAUUCUUCAUGCCAUCUCAUGUUCUUGCAUGCAUCAAAAUAGAAGGGGGCUCUUCUAGGUCGCAUCCUGGAUGGACAUGUUCCUCCAGUAUAGCUACCGCUGAGUCCUUCACGGUGCUUUAGGCUAGUAAGCAACUUUGCAUGUCAUAUCUCCAUUUUUAAGGGAGAUGCUGUCGAAAUUUUCAAAAAAUGGGUAACUUCUUCUUUUGUGGAUGUCCCUGACGCAGAGCCUAAACUGCAGGGUUUCUAUGGCACCUGUCUGUCUUAUGUCGAGAGGGAAAUUGCAGAGCAGCGUGCAUUGAGAGCUGACUGUGUUCCUGAGUAGAAUGCCGCUAUGGUUAAAAAAUUUGUCCUUGAAGCACGCAACACUUAACAUGUGGCUAAAUUGAGGGUCUUGUUAAAGGAGAUAGGGAGGUUAUCUCGCCGUUAUUGUGAGGAAAGAGGAGCACUAAUCCGGCUUUUGAGAAAAUUCAAGAUGAGAAUGUGAAGCAGAGUAAGCUUGACGUCCGUGUGCCAGCAGUGGAUUUGACUAUUGAACAACUUAGCCUGGCCGAAUCAAGGAGCACAUGGAGGCAGCUUCCAAGAAGUCUGAAGAUGGAAAUGUCUUCUAAGGCUCUUUGUGAUCUUUGAGGGUGCUUGGCUUAGUUUUCCUCUUUUUACCUUGUGUAAGGCCUUGAGCCAUGACAUGUAGCCUUUCUUUGCGCUUGAAGAUGAAUGUUUUUUUUCCGUCUUUAAUAUCUCAUUCCACUUGAGGUUGCAAGCUUGCAACUC